UUUUUUAUAGCUCAGUCAGAAAAGCAUGAGACUCUUAAUCUCAGGGUCACGAGUUUGAGCCCCACGUUGGGCAAAA